CACGUAGGGCGCAAGCGUUGUCCGGAAUUAUUGGGCGUAAAGAGCUCGUAGGCGGUCUGUUGCGUCCGCUGUGAAAACUCGGGGCUUAACCCCGAGCCUGCAGUGGAUACGGGCAGACUAGAGGUAGGUAGGGGAGAAUGGAAUUCCCGGUGUAGCGGUGAAAUGCGUAGAUAUCAAGAGGAAUACCUGAGGUGAAGACGGGUUGCUAGGCCGACACUGACGCUGAAGCGCGAAAGCCAGGGGAGCAAACGGG
rnacentral:rRNA from 1 species